AUCACUUCUCAGCCUUUUGGCCAAGAUUGAGUGUAGUGUCUAUUCUUGUCAGUUUAAUAUCUGAUACAUCCUUUAUCCAAGGACAAUAUAUUAAACGGAGUUUUGGAGCAGGAAGAUGGAAUAGGAGCUUGCUCCUUCCACUCCACGCGUUGACCUGCUAUUGCAGUACUUCCAAGAAUGAUGAACCAAAA
ensembl:snRNA U2 U2 spliceosomal RNA